rnacentral:rRNA from 1 species
UACACGCAUGACACACUGCAUAUCAAUAAGCGGAGGAAAAGAAACUAACAAGGAUUCCCUUAGUAACGGCGAGUGAAGCGGGAAGAGCUCAAAUUUGAAAUCUUCGAGGUUUUACCUUGACGAAUUGUAGUUUAAAGAAGUGUUUUCUGUUGAAGUUUUGGUAAAAGUUCUUUGGAAUAGGACAUCAUAGAGGGUGAGAAUCCCGUAUUUGACCAUUAUUUUCAGCUGUGUGAUACACUUUCAAAGAGUCGGAUUGUUUGGGAAUGCAGUCCAAAAUGGGUGGUAAAUUUCAUCUAAAGCUAAAUAUUGGCGAGAGACCGAUAGCGAACAAGUACCGUGAGGGAAAGAUGAAAAGAACUUUGAAAAGAGAGUUAAACAGUACGUGAAAUUGUCAAAAGGGAAGCGUUUGACACCAGUGUUGUUUUCUCGAAAAUCAAUUAAGAAUGGCGGAUUUUGUGUUGUAUUGACUUUAUCAGCUUUCUGCACUUUUUUCCUGUCUUUUUUAAUGCACUUUUCGUUUAACAAGUCAACAUCAAUUUCUUUUGUUGUAAAAGAGUCAUUGGAAGGUGGCUUUCUUUUCGGAGAAAGUGUUUAUAGCCUUUGGCUUCUGCAAUCGGAGAGAUUGAGGUCUGCAGCGUAGAUCCUUCGGGGUUAGAUACAUUUGUGCUAAGCUAUAGCCUUUCAUAGACAACUUGUUGACUAUGAUCAGUCAUGUAGCUUACUCGCUUAUGUCAUUUUACCUACGCUUAGGAUGUUGACUGAUAUGUAGUCGUA